AGCAGUCAGUCAGUCAGUCAGUCAGUCAGUCAAAUAGCCAUUCAGUGAAUGCGUGAGUUUGUGGAUAUUAAUUCAUUCCCUUAGCAAGUAUUUUUCAUUCAUUCAUUCAGUCAGACAGACAAUAAACCAUCACUCACUCGCUCACUCAAACACCCAGUCACUCAAUUUUCCUGCUCAUCUGUGUUCUCUUCUGUUUUUCACCACAUUUCAUCUCUUCCCUCCUCCCUCAUACCCUCUUACCCUCUCACCACCCCCUCAUGCCCUCAGGUACUGUGCGAGAGGGUGGAGGGGAGCCUGAAUACAGAAGAGGUACUCACUGGUCUCAGGAUAAACUCCCCCACAGGCAUCCCAGAGUGUGGAGCUGAUGCCCUUCGGUCCACCCUAUGCUCCACCAGCUUCAGGAGUCAGUGUGGCAUAGAUAGAUGUGGAUGACUGUGGUGUCUUGUCUUGUGUGGAGUUACAAGAACCGUCACCCCAAACAAUGAGUGGUGGAGGGUGCGUUCUGCGUUGACAGCCAGCAUGAGCGGUGACAGGAGCCAUGGGUGCCUUGCCUCCUCGCACCACCACCACAAGCACCACCACUCCUGCCAUCACCUACAAGGGGGAGACUGUGAUGUGGAUGCAGGUGGAUAGGUUCGGAGGCCUCCAGAGAGCUGCCCAGAGUAAAGCUUGUGGUAUAGAGGGACAGCUGCUGAUUAUCAAGCUUAUGGAGUGACUGGAGGAAAGUGGGAGGAGCCUGGAAGGAGUGGUGGAGGUACAGUACUUGGAGAAAAUCCCUCCACCAUGAUGACUGGGUGUCUGCUGUACAGGCCACCAACCAAUGCCUGCAGCCUGCCCUAGCCUGACCCGCCAGACAUGUGCCCCAGGCCUUCCCCUAGCCUGUAGAGCCAUGUAAGCCUGCAGGUCAAGGUCAGGUCAAACGCAACAGGCCGUAACGUGAAAGAUGAAGAGAUUUACGAAGACUGUGUUUGAUGGGCUCAGGUCCUCCGUGCAGGCCACCAACAAGCAAGAGGUUGAGGAAAUACAAAUUUUUGAGACUCUGCAAGCUGAUGCCUUCCAGAUCGCGAAGACGGUGCGCCAUGGGUUCCCGUACCAGCCCACAGCGAUCGCCUUUGACCCAAUCCAGCGAAUAUUGGCAGUCGGGACAAAACAAGGCUCAAUUAGAAUCAUAGGCAGGCCAGGCGUGGACGUCCACCUGCGGCAUGAAGGGGACGCCGCUGUUGUAGCUCUGUCCUUCCUCAUAAACGAUGGAGCGCUCGUUUCCGCGACCGGGGACGACACCCUACACAUGUGGUCGUUGCGGCAGAAAACGCCACAGAUUUUGCAUUCUCUCAAGUUCCAGAGGGAGAGGAUCACCACUUUACAUGUCCCGUUCCAAAGCAAGUGGCUGUAUUUGGGGACUGAGCGAGGCAACAUUCAUAUCGUUAAAAUUGUGACCUUUGAACUGAGUGGUUAUUGUAUAAACUGGAAUAAGGCCAUUGAAUUGUCACGCAAGACACACCCUGGCGCAGUGGUCCAUCUUAGUGAAAACCCUGUCGACCCUGGCAAGGUCAGUGUCUUGGCACCAUGAAGGAAAGCAGUUUAUGUGUUGUCAUACUGAUGGUUCGCUCACAACCUGGACUCUGAAGCAAGCCUCAGCCAGACCCACCUCCACUGUCUUCCCUCACGGAUUUGAUAUCAAAGCUGGUGCAGGAAAAGGAAGCAGAUCGUGACCUUGAGCAGCUCGGGAAGAUAAGCAGCGUCCUUAAGAGUCCAGUUGCUAUCAUUAGCAGUUUUGGAACCAGUGAGUCUGAGACACCCACCAGCAGUGGAAAGGUGGCUGACGAGCGCCUCAAGCACUCUGAAAAGGUGGAGCAACAACAAGAAACAGAAAAUUGCAUCCAUCAUUCUUUGCCUGAGGAGGGAAUUGAUGCUGUGUUGACCCUUGACAGUGACGUCCCUCAUGAGGAGAAUAUGAAUCCUACAGAACUUGCCCAUAGAAAGACCAAAACUGUUACUGCUGCCACUACCACCACUGCCACCGCUUCCACUGCCACCAAAAGCCCAACUGUGCAAAGAAUCCUGGACCUCCUCAAUGAAAUGGAGUCCACCAGUCAGCUGGAGCACUCUAGCCUCCAAAAGUUCCAUCUGUGUCCAUUGUGUUUGGGUAAACUUAUCACUGUAUGAGGGGACAAGUAUCAGUGUAUGGUUACUAUAUACUCAUUUGUACUUAAAAAUGUCAUGUCACAUCAUUCUCUCUCUCUCUCUCUCUCUCUCUCUCUCUCUCUCUCUCUCUCUCUCUCUCUCUCUCUCUCUCUCUCUCUCUCUCUCUCUCUCUCUCUCUCUCUCUCUCUCUCUCUCUCUCUCUCUCUCUCUCUCUUCUUUCUUUCUCUUUCUUUCUUUCUUUCUUUCUUUUGUUGCAUAUUUUACUCCUUUACAUUCUUCCCUACAGUAUUUUUUCGUCUACUUUAUGACUGGAGUCGUUUUAUCAUCCCAAUGUAUGUCCCAUCCAUUCUGAAACUGUAAUUCACCAAUCAGCUCAAAUGUGUCUCAGUUUUGAUAAUCAUUAAUUUGUUUCAGCUACACAACCACUCUGAUAAGGGACAAAAUCUACUUCACCAGUCAUCUAUGUCAUACAGUCAUAUAUAUUCAUACAUAUGACAAAAUGCUCUUCCUAAGACAUUUCUUAUUUUCUCUUCUCAAGUGACCUGUCCAUCUAUCUAAGGUACCACAUAACAUUUAAAACUUACAAUAUUGCAUUUAAUUCAUGAACAUUUUUUUGUCUAUGUAGACUUGAAAUUGUAUUGCGUAUAGACUUUAAAUGUAUUGCGAGUUUUCUCUAUCUCUCAUUCUAUACCUAACACCUGUUCCUAAGAAUCCCCAGGUGAUAGCCAUGGUGACUGGCUGGUCUCCUACUGAGUGGCUGGGGUUUUCCAAAAGUGAGGGUUGGUGUUCUAUACCAUACCAUGUGCCCUGUUUGUAUUCCUUCUCUAUCCUCUGUAUUAUAUUCUAUGUAAAGAUGGUGCUGGGGUGGGAUCUACUUCUUAUUCCCUAAAAGUGAUGAGGAGUGACACUGGGCAGCAUUGAUUUGCUCCUUAGAGAUGGCUGGGUUCCUGUGGAUGAGUGGGCCAUGCUGUGCUUUGUCAAGGAUGGUGUUUGGUAUUGUGAUGACUCUUGCCACAAUCAAGUGUCUCCCACAGAGUAGUGGAGUACCUAUGUAUGGUGUUGACCCAAGCUGUCCAGGUCUCAUCCAAUGCCUUAAUAUGAUUUAGAUGAUCAAAAUGGUUUAACUCACCAUUUAAUCAGCUGACUGAUUUGAAUGGAGAAGUAUGUAAUGUGUUGUAGCCUAACCAUCCCUGCCAGCAUGGUCAGACUCUUGGUAGUAACCUGAAAUGCUCCUAGGUAGUGAGUAUCAUUGCACAUAAUGAUCUUUACUUUGUCAGUAAUUCAAUGAUACUGAAUAUUACUCUACUGGAUUUUGCUCAGCACUGCUUGGUAACUUUUGGCCAUAAUCCCAGGUCUGGAAUGAUAUGAAGCCAUGAUUUUACAUUCCAUAUGAGACAGGCAAGCACUAUGCUUUGCCUGACUGAUACCUCUACUUUGCAUUUAUGACCCCAGGUAGUUCAUAUCUCUCUCUCUCUCUCUCUCUCUCUCUCUCUCUCUCUCUCUCUCUCUCUCUCUCUCUCUCUCUCUCUCUCUCUCUCUCUCUCUCUCUCUCUCUCUCUCUCUCUCUCUCUCUCUCUCUCUCUCUCUCUCUCUCUCUCUCUCUCUCUCUCUCUCUCUCUCUGGAAUUAUACUGUAUAUUAGGAAAUAUCAUUAAAGAGUGUGUUUGUGUGUGUGUGUGUGUGUGUGUAAAAAGUGUUUGCAUUAUUGUGCAUUUGAUGUUAUAGCCCCAGGUUCUUAAAGUUUUCUGGUUUCAUGAUUUAUAAAGAUUGCUAUUUUUAAUAAAGUUAUUGAAAUUGUUA